AGGAGGAGGCUGGUUUGCUGGGAUCCUGGUCACGUCCCUGGGUUCUAGCGGGGAAUCCUGGCAUUCUGAAGGAGAGCUGCUGGCUUGUUGUUUCCCCGAGUUCAACUAGGCACCAAGCAGAGCCCCUGGCCCUGGACAGUGACCCUCCCCUCCCCCUUUUCCAUUUGUUUCUGCAGUAAUUAUGACCCAAACUACCAGCUGCGCAGAGAAGGCCUGCCUUACAGGGUGUAUGGAUACCAGAGGAUCCCCCCACUCAUCAACCAAGUGUCUACCAAGAUUCGGAGGACUCCUGUGGGCCUGGGGGUAAAGAGCAGCUGCAGCCCCUACAAAGCCUCCAGGAAUAGCCACCUGCCCUCCGGGCAGAUCAAGUCACGGGUACCAACUCCAGCCCCCCUCCCAGCAGUGCACACUGCCGAGCUGCACUCCAUCAGGGAGGCCCUGAGCCAGAUCAAAGCCCAGGUGGACAGCCUGCUGGAGAGUCUGGAGCACAUAGACAGGCAGAGGGAUCCGUCUGCAGAGACAAAGGGCAAUGAAGAAAACUGGGGUCUUGAAAAUGGAGGCUCCUCAUGCAGAAUUACUGAGUCCCCACAGGAGCCCAAGGGCCUAAGGGCCCAUCCAGAGGAAGCCAGCUCCAAGGGAAACACAGACACUGCACCUGCAGUGAAGAACCAAGCAUCUCACUAGGGGGCAGCCAGGAGGUGGGAACCCUUCUAGGACCAUCAGCUCCAUGGGCUGGGCUUUUGGAGGCCUCUCAGCUGCACCCACUUAACCAGAGGCACUCAUUCUGGAGCCAGGACAAUGGGAGUGAAGGCACAGAUCAGCCAUCAGCCAGGUGUCCCCCGUGGCUGUGCGGGGGUCGUUUCCCGAUGAGUCCUAGGGAGGGAGGCCUGGGACAGCCCAACAGCAGCUCCACAUCCUAAAUGCUGCCUUAGUCGCUCUGCCACUCCCCAUGCACCAGUCCUGGUGGCGUGGAGCACUG